ACUACAUUUCUAUGAACUGGAGUCCUUGUUAAACUGAGCGCUCUUGAAAAUGCAUGAGUCUCCUCUGCCAACGAGUUCCUGAAGGCAUUAGGGUUUGGGAGAACUCUGCAUCUGGGAGUACGAACGGGCACUUGUCACCUGGCUCAAGCGUGUCUCCUUGCUGGGCCUUUGACCCUUUAGAGCAAAGGAUCCUCCCCACCACGACUGAGCUCCUGAGAAGUCAGUGGAGCAGGAACUGGAGAGAAAGCAUCUCUGCCAGGCAAGGGGCUUUCAAGUCCAUCAUGCCUUUGAUCCCUUUGUGUUUGGUGUUGGUUGCUGCCCCAGGUGUUCUAGCAUUUCUCAAUUUUGCCAUCGAGAAUGCCAACCCUGUCCUGGAAAAUGCCUCUGAGCACACUCGGGUGGCCGUGAUCCGUGUGUCACUCUCACGUCACGCUUCUCUGGUUGGAGAUCCUGUUAUUCUUAAUGCAAACCCCGUGGUCCACCCAUUCGCACUGUCUCGUGGAUCUACACUUCUGUGGGAUUUAUUCACCACUGGAGUACCCAAGCUGGACUUUGAGAUGGUGGCACUCUACUCCCUGCUAAUCUACGCCAGAGACAACCAAGGGGCCACUGCAUCACAGACCAUCUCAAUUCAGAUUGCAGAUGUGAAUGAACCGCCCACCUUCACUGGAUCCCUUGCCCAGGGAGACCAAGCAGCUGCUGAGAUUUACGUCCUAGAGGACACUGCUCUGGGUGCAGUCAUUUACAGAGCAGCGGCCAAGGACCCCGAGGAUGCUGCUCUGGAGUACUUCCUCUCCCCGGAGGGCUCUGGCUUCGCAAUCGACAGCUCCGGAACAAUUUCCACAACAGCUGCGUUCGAUUUUGAGAGUGAAACUAGAAGUUUUUCACUGGUUGUUAAAGCGGUUGACCCCGGAGGACUGUUCGCCACUGGAAAUCUGAAGAUUUUCCUCAUCAAUAUCAACAAUAAGGAUCCCACUCUGACCUGCAGUUUGUUCAACAUUGAGAACGCUGUCUUGAGUGUUGCAUCUGUAAACUCAACUCUGCACAACAAAGUGGACCUCACGCUGGAUGAAGAAAUCCCAGUCGGGAAAACGAUUGGAACGUGCCAGGCAAAUGAUGAAGAUUGCUUGGGAGAUUUAACCUUUGAACUUGAUCCUGGGAAUGUUUACUUUGCAGUCGAUAAAGAGCGUGGGACCGUGGUCACUGCCACUCGCCUGGACGCAGAGAGAGCUGGGUUUGCGAGGGCCCAGUCCUUCUCCAUUAAGGCUUGUGACCGUGACCAGCGGUGUGCAGCAGUUCCCGUGACCGCCUACAUUCAUGGCCUUAAUGACAACUCGCCUUUCUGCGACCAGUAUGUGAUUAGGUACACAGGCAGAGAGAUGAUUGUAGAAGACACAGUAGUGGCAAAGCUCUCGUGUCGUGACCUUGACGACCCUCCUGAUACAAUCCACUAUGUUCCAAGCUUGGGACCAGUUGGUUCUGGACAAAUCUUUGAACAAGCACCAAAUGCUGAAAACGUCAUCCGGGUCACCAAAGAGCUGGAUUACGAAGACCCAGAGGUGGUUGCUGUGGGCCAUACUUAUGAAAUGACGAUUUCAGUGUUUGAUGACCUUCAUCCCUCCCAUACAGUUACUGUGACAGUCAUUGUGGAGCUCGCUCCCGCCAACGACUUCAGCCCUGUGUUUAAAGCUGCACACUAUUCAUUCUCGGUUCCAGAGACAUCAGGAGCUUUCUACAAAGUUGGAAGAGUGACUGCCACUGAUGAAGACCACCCACCAAACUGUCUGACCUACAAAAUUACCAAUGGAGACAUCGAGGCUGUACAAAAAUUCUGGAUUCAUCCUCACUCUGGGAUGAUCGAACUCACCACACAGCCAGACUAUGAGUCUGUGAAGCAAUACAACCUCACCGUGGAAGCUGUGGACUGCGACAGAGUCCAUCCACGCACAGCAGUGGCCACAGUCACGGUUGACAUUGAGGAUGAGAAUGACGAAGCACCUGUCUGUGUGCCCUCUCUUUUCAAGGGAGUCAUUUCCAACAAUGUUGCUGCUGGGACAAACGUCAAUGGCUUCAAACUAAGCUGUCACGACAGAGAUUCGCAGGAUUUCGAAAUGCGCUUUGAGAUAGCUUCUGGAAAUGAGAACCAUCAUUUUGGAUUUGACCCAACUCAAGGUUCAAAUACUCCAAAAUUAAUUGUGAAGAAUCCUUUUAACUUUGAACCUGGAGCUGAACGGCUGCGGCAGUACCACCUCGUGGUGCAUAUAGUGGAUGACAAUCUCAAACACGGCAGGACCACCAAGCCCAGGACGGGCACUGCUGCUAUAGAUAUUUACGUGAUCAGAGCUCCUACGCCAUCCCCUCCAACCAGCUCUGAACAGAGAAAAGGCCUGACCAUCGUGUACACAGCAGUCAACACGUAUAGAUCCGGUGCCUGGUACAUCCCUUUCACCUUCACGCUGUUGGCUGUUUUCUGUGUUGGGCUCGUUUCCUGGCUGUGCUUCCUGCUUUGGAGGUAUGGAAACAUCAUGGAGUGCUGUCAGGUCAUGGCCAAGAGCGUCUCCAAGCCCAUGCCCAGACAAAUCUGUGAGCAAACAAGCAACCAACUCCUCGUCUUAUCUUGAUGCAAGAUGUUUCACGGACGGACGGGUGUUUGACAGCCACUGGGCAGCAGCGCAGGGACUAGGAACGAGUCAGGUGACCUUUCUGCGCACUGAGACCGGAAGUAAGGCCAGAGGGACGGACGGGAUCUUCAGCUGCUUCCGUCACCACCCAGGAAGAGCAAAGAGCAUCAGGACUUCAAAAGGAGCCUUGGAAUUGAACUUUUAUUAAUUAAGCAGAAUUUAUUUGUGCACAGAGAAGAGGGUCGCGGUGGUUAAUGAGGCUGUUUCGUAAUUUCCCAGACAACAUUUCUUUUUGUCCUGGCUCAGAAAGGUGUUAUAAUAGUCACAUGCUGAGUACUGAAUGAGGUCCUGUUUGAAACGUGUUUUACCUUAAUGAAGCUAAUAUUUUGUCCAAUUUUCUUUUCAUACAGAGAAAUGAAAUAUAUUGCAGGAGGUAGAGAUCAAAAAGAAAAAGCUGUCACAGGAAGCCGCAGUAAAAAAUUCGAAGUCUUAACAGAAACCAUUGUGUACGAGACCGUGUUUGAUGGAGAAGCCAUUGACCCAGUGUCUGGCAAUGUGUACGAAUACAACAGCAGAACGGGAGCCAGAAAGUGGAAGAAGCCCCCCA